rnacentral:rRNA from 1 species
UCGCCUACGGGGGGCAGCAGUGGGGAAUAUUGCACAAUGGGGGAAACCCUGAUGCAGCGACGCCGCGUGAGUGAGGAAGUAUUUCGGUAUGUAAAGCUCUAUCAGCAGGGAAGAAAAAAUGACGGUACCUGACUAAGAAGCACCGGCUAAAUACGUGCCAGCAGCCGCGGUAAUACGUAGGGAGCGAGCGUUAUCCGGAUUUAUUGGGUGUAAAGGGUGCGUAGACGGGAAUUUAAGUUAGUUGUGAAAUCCCUCGGCUCAACUGAGGAACUGCAACUAAAACUGGAUUUCUUGAGUGCUGGAGG